GCGGCGGACGGGUGAGUAACACGUGGGCAACCUGCCCUGCAGACUGGGAUAACUUCGGGAAACCGGAGCUAAUACCGGAUAACACCGAAAACCGCAUGGUUUUCGGUUGAAAGGCGGCUUUUAGCUGUCACUGCAGGAUGGGCCCGCGGCGCAUUAGCUAGUUGGUGAGGUAACGGCUCACCAAGGCGACGAUGCGUAGCCGACCUGAGAGGGUGACCGGCCACACUGGGACUGAGACACGGCCCAGACUCCUACGGGAGGCAGCAGUAGGGAAUCUUCCGCAAUGGACGAAAGUCUGACGGAGCAACGCCGCGUGAGCGAAGAAGGUCUUCGGAUCGUAAAGCUCUGUUGUCAGGGAAGAACAAGUACCGUUCGAACAGGGCGGUACCUUGACGGUACCUGACGAGGAAGCCACGGCUAACUACGUGCCAGCAGCCGCGGUAAUAC
rnacentral:rRNA from 435 species